UGGGGAAUAUUGCACAAUGGGCGCAAGCCUGAUGCAGCCAUGCCGCGUGUGUGAAGAAGGCCUUCGGGUUGUAAAGCACUUUCAGCGGGGAGGAAGGCGAUAAGGUUAAUAACCUUGUCGAUUGACGUUACGCGCAGAAGAAGCACCGGCUAACUCCGUGCCAGCAGCCGCGGUAAUACGGAGGGUGCAAGCGUUAAUCGGAAUUACUGGGCGUAAAGCGCACGCAGGCGGUCUGUCAAGUCGGAUGUGAAAUCCCCGGGCUUAACCUGGGAACUGCAUUCGAAACUGGCAGGCUAGAGUCUUGUAGAGGGGGGUAGAAUUCCAGGUGUAGCGGUGAAAUGCGUAGAGAUCUGGAGGAAUACCGGUGGCGAAGGCGGCCCCCUGGACAAAGACUGACGCUCAGGUGCGAAAGCGUGGGGAGCAAACAGG
rnacentral:rRNA from 1 species